UGAGAUGCACACUCCAUACAAGGCCGGACAAGGCAUCUGUAUAUGAACAGCAUCUGUGCGGGGGAGAAGAACUGGCGGAGACGACACAAAACGCUUAACCUCGAGGAAGCUGCUCUGGUGUGUGUGAGGCACUGACUGCAUCCUUUGGUGACAUCACAACACUCCUGCAGGUCCUCACUCACCUGUUCCAGUCCACAUGAGACCUGUGAAAACUGACUCGGAGCACUCCUGUCCCCUACAUACGUGGAGUCACUGAUCAGUGUGCAGUGAUGGAAGGGCUGCCAGGUGGUUUUGGUCCCUCCACUCUCCUCUGAACCCCAAGCAGAUCCCCCAAAAUAUCUCCACUGUCAUGGAGACACAUGGGGGAAAGGAAAAUGGUAGAGUUUUGGUAUUUGCUGUCCAGCUGCAGCCCACGGUGAGGUGGUUAUGCUGGUGGUGAUGUGUUUGUAGGGGGCUGUUGUCCAGAGAUAACACCAUCAUUAAUGGGGUAUCCUGAGGCUUUGCUAAGGUGGACAGCAGGGCAUGAGGGGUAUGCUGUUUGAAGAAAAGGCAGGUGAGGCCAUCUAAAGAGCAUAUAAGUGGAUGUUUCCUUCUUGGCAAUGGUACAUCCUCCAGGUCUUGGGGCACCAGGAGUCCAAGUC